rnacentral:lncRNA from 1 species
UGAAGAACUUCACCUCUCUCUCCUGAUAAAACAUAACCAAAGUAAGCACAAGAAAGAUUAUGAAACACAGCAAGUGAGCUAAAAUUCUAAAUUAAAAAUGUCAGCGGAAAGGGGAGGCAAAUGAGACACAUUAUAAAGGACAGAAAUACCAAACAGAUAUACACUAUGAAACACAGCAAGUGAACUAAAGUUCCAUAUUAAAAAUGUUGCUGGAAAGGGGAGGCAAAUGAAACACAUUAUAAAGGACAGAAAUACCAAAUAGAUACAAAGAGAUGCAAAGGUAACACUUCAAGUUCCAAAAUAGAGAACAAAUGUAAGGGAGAAGGUUCUGCACAGCUGCCUAAAACAAUUCAUAUUUUCUUCACCUUCCCCAACCUCAUAGCUAUCCCGAUACAACUGUGCAGUUCCACUCCCUGCUCGGCACUUGAAAAUUCUCUCUAUCAUAAUACCUUGCUCAUUGAAUAUAGACC